UAUUGGUCAAUGGCCGGAAGGCUGAACCAGCCAAGCCGCGUGAGGGAAGACGGUCCUACGGAUUGUAAACCUCUUUUGCCGGGGAGCAGGGCGGCGGACGUGUCCGCCGUUUGAGAGUACCCGGAGAAAAAGCAUCGGCUAACUCCGUGCCAGCAGCCGCGGUAAUACGGAGGAUGCGAGCGUUAUCCGGAUUUAUUGGGUUUAAAGGGUGCGUAGGCGGGCUUUUAAGUCAGCGGUAAAAAUUCGGGGCUCAACCCCGUCCGGCCGUUGAAACUGGGGGCCUUGAGUGGGCGAGAAGAAGGCGGAAUGCGUGGUGUAGCGGUGAAAUGCAUAGAUAUCACGCAGAACCCCGAUUGCGAAGGCAGCCUUCCGGCGCCCUACUGACGCUGAAGCACGAAAGCGUGGGUAUCGAACAGG
rnacentral:rRNA from 1 species